rnacentral:lncRNA from 1 species
AUGUCCUUGGAAUAGAACAUCUUUUUGUAACAAGAAGCAUUGGCAAUACACUCUGUUAGUAUAGGUUCAUUAAGCUUAGUCAAUGCUCAUUAACAUAAACUACUUAAACAUGAAAAUAAUUUAUAAUCAUCACAUUCAGAAUCAGAUAUAUGGGCACCAAGGAAGUAUUCAAAAGGGCUCAUAGUUAAAUUUUUUUUCUUUCUUUCACGAAUAGUAACAUAUAAGUUUGAGGUGUUUUUUUUGUUUGUUUGUUUGUUUUUUUUUGUUUUGUUUUUUUUGUAGCACAGAUAAAAGAAAACCAAAAUAAAAUUAUCAGUGUUUAUCCUAUUACAUUUCUUUUCUUCUUUGAGUUUUAAUGUUUAGUUCUUGGUAUGUCAAUAUAUUUGAAAAUUUAACAACACCACCAAAAAGAUAGUUAUAGACUCAAAUCCUAGCAUGGAGAGGGGAAUUGGGCCUGAAGUGUCAGUCCUAUCUGAACAGCUAUUGCCAGUUGAUGGCUUCUAGGAGAUGGAGGAUCAGAUUUGUUUGUUUCAUUUUGUUGUUGUUUGUUUUGUUUUUUUCAAGAAUGUUUCUCCUCCAUUUUCCCCCUGCAAUUCUUUUAGACGGGAACAAUUUUGGGUCAAAAAUUUUGAGGGUGGGUUAGGGUCCUCAUCCCUGUGCUGAGGGUCCUGUCUAACUACUAGAGAUGGUCUCUUCCAUUUUCGUAUCUCCACUGUUGAGCAUUUUGGCUAAGGUCAGCCACAUUGAAUCCUGGAAGCCUCCCUCAUCCCAGGUCUCUGGGACUUUCUAAAGAUCCCUCACUGGCACCUGCGUAUUUCCAUUCAUUCUUCUGGGCCUCUGGGAUUCUAUCCUACCUCUCCCCAUGCCUGAUCUUGUUCCCCUGUUCCCCUCCUCUUCCCUCUCCAACCCAGGUCCCUCCCUCCCUCUGCCUCCCAUGAUUUUUUCCCCCUUCUAAGUAAGAUUGAAGCAUUCUCACUUGGGCCUUGCUUCAUAUUUAACGUCUUGGGGUCUGUUGGGUGUAUCAUGGCCAUUCUGUACAUUUUUGGCUAAUAUCUACUUAUCAGUAAGUACAUACCAUCCAUGUCCUUUUGGGACUGGAUGAAAUGACUGACCAGUGACCUACCCAACCAGGGAUCCCUCCCAUGGGUGGGCAGUAAACCCUAACACUAUUGCUGAUUCUAUGUUGAACUUGUAGACAGGAGCCUAGCAGGGUUGUCCUCUGAGAGGCUCUACCAGCAGCUGACUGAGAUAUAUACACAUAUAUCCAAGCAUUGGAUGGACCUAUGGAAGAAUUAGGGGAAGGAUUGAAGGAAUUGAAGGGAUGGCAACCUCAUAGGAAGACCAAGAGAGUCAACGCACUAGAUCCUUGGGAGCUCCCAGAGACUUAACCAAAAACCAAAGGGCAUACACAGGCUAGUCUGAGGCCCUUAGCACAGAUGUAGCAGAGAACUAUCUUCUCUGGCCUCAGUGGUAAAGGAUUUCCCUAAUCCUGUAGAGACCUGAUUCUCCAUGGAGGGGGUGUCAGGAGGGACCCUCUCAGAGGUUAAGGGGAGGGGAGAAGAACUCUGUGAUUGGGAACCAAGAAGGGAUAACCUUUGGCAUGCAAAUAAAUAAAAAUAAUUAAGCAACCUCAUAGAGGCAAAGGGGAAGAGGGAUGGAAUCAGGGGAGGGGACUGGGAAGGGGGACAACAUUUGAAAUGUAAAUAAACAAAAUAAUCAAUAAAAAACUUUAAAAAUAGAGUUGCUACUAAGAAGUCAACAACACUAGUGAAAAGCUACACAUUCAAGGAUAUGGGGCAUAAAUUGGAUUAUAUGGGUAAAAAGAAAAAAAUGGCAGAAUGUGGACACAAACUGGGUACAGAAGAAAGGAAGGUGGAUCUGGUAGGAAAUGGAGUCAAGGGAUCGAAACAUCUUGUGUGAAAUUUGUACGGAACUAUAAAACUAUAGACUAAACACAGAUUUGUCUUGCUUGACAACAAAUAACAAAUAUCCUGGGAAUACUAUCUCUAAGUCUAUAAAACCAAAGUAUUACUGAAAACCUUUGCCCAGGAACUGAAGAACACAAAAGUCAGCAGGUGGUGGGAGUGGAAUUUACUGUCUCAUGACUUCCAUCAGCUAGUUGGCCUCAGUUUUGUAUUCUCAUUCUAAGAUCUCCACAGGCUCACAAUACCAGAACCUGGGGAAGACAGUCUUUAAAUCUUCUCUUUGGACCUUGACUGUUUUUGACUUAUCUUUCACUUGCAUUCAAUCUUGUGCAGACUAAGUUUAAUCACACCAAAAAUACACAAGGAGAAAAGCCUUAAAGAUUGAUAUUUAAUUGAUUUAGGAUUUCACUUGGUUACACCUAAAUGAACUUAGAAUAAAUAGAGAUGGAGACACCAAUUCAUAUGCAUUUAAAGACUCAUACAUCAUUAGCAAACUCCCCUCUUCCCACACCCACUGCCCACCCUAAGUUACAUAGUUAAACUAAAUGUAAUCAAAUGGGAUGAGCCACAUGUAAAUUUAUAUUAAGGCUCAAUCUGUACUGUCAUAAAAAAUAGCUUCUUAAGGUUUAAUGAAAACCACUCAAGAUUGUGUAGGACUACUGUGAACCCAAGCAUCUUAAUGACAUCUUAGCUAAUGCUUGUAGACUGGUUCACAGAAAACAGUUUAAAUCCAAAAAUUUCCAAGGACUACACAACACACCUUCCAAAAUUAUAAAGUGGAAGAGUCAGUAGAGUAGUCAACAUUGCUCAUGUUAGCUGGAAGUGAGAAAGUUUGCUAUAUAUAUUCCCGUUAACAGUCUCAAAGCAAAAAUAAUGGUGGUCUUUAGUAAGUAUUACAAAACCUACACUAUGGAUUACUUGGCUGAGACUGAAAAAAUUCUGAACAUGAAAAGGUCUGAUCACAACUGGUAUAAACAACUGUACUUUCAAAUAAAUUACUAUCAUUGUCAAAAAUAUAUUAGUAGUUCAGUUGCUAACAUAUGAGCUACUAAUAUUUAAUAGCAUUUGUAAAUCAUUUAUCACAUUUAUGUGUUUUCAUCUUAUAAUGUUACAAUGUCAUGUCUCUUUUUAUUCCAAAUUUAUUAGACACAUUUAAUCUAAUUGUCUGAAAAAGAUACUCAGGGCAUUGUUAUUUAAUGUUUCAUUUUGCUGCUGACAGUUACAUAUAUUUUAUCUUUUUAUAACUCACUCAGAGAAAGAAAAAAUAUGAUUUUUACAUUUUCACAAAAGGAAGAGCAGAUAAUGAUCAAAUUCAUGUUGCAAAGUCUAAUAUUGAAAAUGUAUGUUGACCUGAAAAGAUAUUUUAAUAAUGGAAGGAUUAUCAUGUAGUACUGUUAUCUCUGAAUUAACUCUUUUAUUCUCUAGGUUGCCGUCAAUUUUCUUGUUAAUUUUAAAUGAAGCACUUAUGUUUUUCAGAGUCCAGUAUCAGAAAACACAUCAAGAUGUUGGCGCUAACCUUCCAUGCUGGGGCUCUGACCGCUCUUGGGUGACAUCUUGUCCAAAGGUACUUCUUCACUCUUCAGGUCUGAGUCUCUCAUGAAAUCGUCUGCAUGGCUCCCAGGGAGACUCCGAAACGUUGAUGAAAUUGCUGUGUUCCCUCCCCACUUCCUUCCAGGGAUGAGGAAGCCAAAUUUCCCUGUGGUCCAAGCUGACAGAGUUUUAUUCGGAAAGCCAUGGUCUACGAGAUCUUGAAACAUAAUCUGCGUUUUUGAACACAGAGAAACACUGUCUGGAUGCUUCACUGUCUGAGGGGAAGCCUGUUUCUUGGGAACUGAAAGUCAAACAGUGUCCCAGGAGCCAUGGAAUCUAACCUGAAAAACCUAUGACACAUGCCUUUUAAGGAAGCUAAACAAGGCCAACUCCAUGAUUCCCCCUCAAUAAGAAGCAAUGAUUGGACUCAGUAUAUUAAAAAAGAAAAAGAAAAAG